rnacentral:rRNA from 1 species
AGAGUUUGAUCCUGGCUCAGGACGAACGCUGGCGGCGUGCCUAUUACAUGCAAGUCGCGCGGAUCAAUGAGGAGUAGCGGCGGACGGGUGAGUAACGCGUGGAUAAUCUGCCUGUAAGACGGGGAUAACGCCGGGAAACCGGUGCUAAUACCCGAUAACCUCUUUAGAUCGCAUGGUUUGAAGAGAAAAGGUGGCCUCUUUACAAUGNNNNNNNNGGGCCCGCGGCUGAUUAGCUAGUUGGUGGGGUAACGGCCUACCAAGGCAACGAUCAGUAGCCGACCUGAGAGGGUGAUCGGCCACACUGGAACUGAGACACGGUCCAGACUCCUACGGGAGGCAGCAGUGGGGAAUCUUCCGCAAUGGACGAAAGCCUGACGGAGCAACGCCGCGUGGGUGAAGAAGGCCUUCGGGUUGUAAAACCCUGUCUUCAAGGGAAGAACAAGUGCCGCAGGCAAUGGCGGCACCUUGACGGUACCUUACCAGAAAGCCACGGCUAACUACGUGCCAGCAGCCGCGGUAAUACGUAGGUGGCAAACGUUGUCCGGAAUUACUGGGCGUAAAGGGCGAGUAGGUGGUUUGCUAAGUCAAAAGUGAAAACUCCCGGCUCAACCGGGGAGGGCCAUUGGAAACUGGUAGACUUGAGUGCAAGAGAGGGAAGUGGAAUUCCUAGUGUAGCGGUGAAAUGCGUAGAUAUUAGGAGGAACACCAGUGGCGAAGGCGACUUCCUGGCUUGUAACUGACACUGAGGCGCGAAAGCGUGGGGAUCAAACAGGAUUAGAUACCCUGGUAGUCCACGCCGUAAACGAUGAGUGCUAGGUGUUGGAGGGUUUCCGCCCUUCAGUGCUGAAGCUAACGCAUUAAGCACUCCGCCUGGGGAGUACGGUCGCAAGGCUGAAACUCAAAGGAAUUGACGGGGGCCCGCACAAGCGGUGGAGUAUGUGGUUUAAUUCGACGCAACGCGAAGAACCUUACCAAGGCUUGACAUCCCGUGACAGCCAUGGAAACAGGGGAGUGCCCUUCGGUGCACACGGAGACAGGUGGUGCAUGGUUGUCGUCAGCUCGUGUCGUGAGAUGUUGGGUUAAGUCCCGCAACGAGCGCAACCCUUGUCCUUAGUUGCCACCAUUCAGUUGGGCACUCUAAGGAGACUGCCGGUGACAAACCGGAGGAAGGUGGGGAUGACGUCAAAUCAUCAUGCCCCUUAUGAGUUGGGCUACACACGUGCUACAAUGGCCGGUACAAAGGGCAGCGACACAGCGAAGUGAAGCCAAUCCCAGAAAGCCGUUCUCAGUUCGGAUUGCAGGCUGCAACUCGCCUGCAUGAAGUCGGAAUCGCUAGUAAUCGCAGGUCAGCAUACUGCGGUGAAUACGUUCCCGGGUCUUGUACACACCGCCCGUCACACCACGAGAGUUUGUAACACCCGAAGUCGGUGAGGUAACCUUAGGGAGCCAGCCGCCGAAGGUGGGACAGAUGAUUGGGGUGAAGUCGUAACAAGGUAACC